GGGUUGUGAGGUUAAGCGACUAAGCGUACACGGUGGAUGCCUAGGCAGUCAGAGGCGAUGAAGGGCGUGCUAAUCUGCGAAAAGCGUCGGUAAGGUGAUAUGAACCGUUAUAACCGACGAUACCCGAAUGGGGAAACCCAGUGCAAUUCGUUGCACUAUUGCAUGGUGAAUACAUAGCCAUGCAAGGCGAACCGGGGGAACUGAAACAUCUAAGUACCCCGAGGAAAAGAAAUCAACCGAGAUUCCCCCAGUAGCGGCGAGCGAACGGGGAGGAGCCCAGAGUCUGAAUCAGUUUGUGUGUUAGUGGAAGCGUCUGGAAAGUCGCACGGUACAGGGUGAUAGUCCCGUACACAAAAAUACACUUGCUGUGAACUCGAUGAGUAGGGCGGGACACGUGACAUCCUGUCUGAAUAUGGGGGGACCAUCCUCCAAGGCUAAAUACUCCUGACUGACCGAUAGUGAACCAGUACCGUGAGGGAAAGGCGAAAAGAACCCCGGCGAGGGGAGUGAAAUAGAACCUGAAACCGUGUACGUACAAGCAGUGGGAGCACCUUCGUGGUGUGACUGCGUACCUUUUGUAUAAUGGGUCAGCGACUUAUAUUUUGUAGCAAGGUUAACCGAAUAGGGGAGCCGUAGGGAAACCGAGUCUUAACUGGGCGUCUAGUUGCAAGGUAUAGACCCGAAACCCGGUGAUCUAGCCAUGGGCAGGUUGAAGGUUGGGUAACACUAACUGGAGGACCGAACCGACUAAUGUUGAAAAAUUAGCGGAUGACUUGUGGCUGGGGGUGAAAGGCCAAUCAAACCGGGAGAUAGCUGGUUCUCCCCGAAAGCUAUUUAGGUAGCGCCUCGUGAACUCAUCUUCGGGGGUAGAGCACUGUUUCGGCUAGGGGGCCAUCCCGGCUUACCAAACCGAUGCAAACUCCGAAUACCGAAGAAUGUUAUCACGGGAGACACACGGCGGGUGCUAACGUCCGUCGUGAAGAGGGAAACAACCCAGACCGCCAGCUAAGGUCCCAAAGUCAUGGUUAAGUGGGAAACGAUGUGGGAAGGCAUAGACAGCCAGGAUGUUGGCUUAGAAGCAGCCAUCAUUUAAAGAAAGCGUAAUAGCUCACUGGUCGAGUCGGCCUGCGCGGAAGAUGUAACGGGGCUAAACCAUGCACCGAAGCUGCGGCAGCGACGCUUAGGCGUUGUUGGGUAGGGGAGCGUUCUGUAAGCCGUUGAAGGUGAACUGUGAGGUUUGCUGGAGGUAUCAGAAGUGCGAAUGCUGACAUAAGUAACGAUAAUGCGGGUGAAAAGCCCGCACGCCGGAAGACCAAGGGUUCCUGUCCAACGUUAAUCGGGGCAGGGUGAGUCGACCCCUAAGGCGAGGCUGAAAAGCGUAGUCGAUGGGAAACAGGUUAAUAUUCCUGUACUUGGUGUUACUGCGAAGGGGGGACGGAGAAGGCUAGGCUAGCCGGGCGACGGUUGUCCCGGUUUAAGCAUGUAGGCGGAGUGACUUGGUAAAUCCGGUUGCUUAUCAACGCUGAGGUGUGAUGACGAGCCACUACGGUGGUGAAGUAGUUGAUGCCAAGCUUCCAGGAAAAGCCUCUAAGCAUCAGGUAACAUUAAAUCGUACCCCAAACCGACACAGGUGGUCAGGUAGAGAAUACUCAGGCGCUUGAGAGAACUCGGGUGAAGGAACUAGGCAAAAUGGUGCCGUAACUUCGGGAGAAGGCACGCUGGCAUUAGGUAAAGAGACUUGCUCUCGGCGCCGAAGCCAGUCGAAGAUACCAGCUGGCUGCAACUGUUUAAUAAAAACACAGCACUGUGCAAACACGAAAGUGGACGUAUACGGUGUGACGCCUGCCCGGUGCUGGAAGGUUAAUUGAUGGGGUCAGCCGCAAGGCGAAGCUCUUGAUCGAAGCCCCAGUAAACGGCGGCCGUAACUAUAACGGUCCUAAGGUAGCGAAAUUCCUUGUCGGGUAAGUUCCGACCUGCACGAAUGGCGUAAUGAUGGCCAGGCUGUCUCCACCCGAGACUCAGUGAAAUUGAACUCGCUGUGAAGAUGCAGUGUACCCGCGGCAAGACGGAAAGACCCCGUGAACCUUUACUAUAGCUUGACACUGAACAUUGAGCCUUGAUGUGUAGGAUAGGUGGGAGGCAUCGAAGCGUGGACGCCAGUCUGCGUGGAGCCAACCUUGAAAUACCACCCUUUAAUGUUUGAUGUUCUAACUCGGCCCCAUAAUCUGGGGUGAGGACAGUGUCUGGUGGGUAGUUUGACUGGGGCGGUCUCCUCCCAAAGAGUAACGGAGGAGCACGAAGGUUAGCUAAUCACGGUCGGACAUCGUGAGGUUAGUGCAAAGGCAUAAGCUAGCUUGACUGCGAGAGUGACGGCUCGAGCAGGUACGAAAGUAGGUCUUAGUGAUCCGGUGGUUCUGAAUGGAAGGGCCAUCGCUCAACGGAUAAAAGGUACUCCGGGGAUAACAGGCUGAUACCGCCCAAGAGUUCAUAUCGACGGCGGUGUUUGGCACCUCGAUGUCGGCUCAUCACAUCCUGGGGCUGAAGUAGGUCCCAAGGGUAUGGCUGUUCGCCAUUUAAAGUGGUACGCGAGCUGGGUUUAGAACGUCGUGAGACAGUUCGGUCCCUAUCUGCCGUGGGCGUUGGAAGAUUGAGAGGGGCUGCUCCUAGUACGAGAGGACCGGAGUGGACGAAUCACUGGUGUUCGGGUUGUCAUGCCAAUGGCAUUGCCCGGUAGCUAAAUUCGGAAGAGAUAACCGCUGAAAGCAUCUAAGCGGGAAACUUGCCUCGAGAUGAGUCUUCCCUGGGGCUUUAAGCCCCCUGAAGGAACGUUAAAGACUAUGACGUUGAUAGGCUGGGUGUGUAAGUGCAGCGAUGCAUUGAGCUAACCAGUACUAAUGAUCCGUGAGGCUUAACCUUACAACACCGAAGGUGUUUUAG
rnacentral:rRNA from 1 species